CCUACGGGAGGCACCAGUGGGGAAUAUUGCACAAUGGGCGCAAGCCUGAUGCAGCCAUGCCGCGUGUAUGAAGAAGGCCUUCGGGUUGUAAAGUACUUUCAGCGGGGAGGAGGUGUUGUGGUUAAUAACCGCAGCAAUUGACGUUACCCGCAGAAGAAGCGCCGGCUAGCUCCGUGCCAGCAGCCGCGGUAAUACGGAGGGUGCAAGCGUUAAUCGGAAUUACUGGGCGUAAAGCGCACGCAGGCGGUCUGUCAAGUCGGAUGUGAAAUCCCCGGGCUCAACCUGGGAACUGCAUUCGAAACUGGCAGGCUAGAGUCUUGUAGAGGGGGGUAGAAUUCCAGGUGUAGCGGUGUAAUGCGUAGAGAUCUGGAGGAAUACCGGUGGCGAAGGCGGCCCCCUGGACAAAGACUGACGCUCAGGUGCGAAAGCGUGGGGAGCAAACAGGAUUAGAUACCCUUGUAGUC
rnacentral:rRNA from 1 species